AAGCGAAUAGAGGGGACGAUAUAACCUCUAAAGUACAAUUUCUGUGCAUGCCACUGGUUUUAGUAUUCAUUCGACGUUUAUACGUCCUUUGUAUACCUACCUACGUAUAUAUGUAUGUAUUUUAUUGCGAUAUCACGUUUCUAAAUUUUAUAAUACAAAAUAUCGAUGAACAUUCUGUUGACAUUGGUUGAAAAUAAAGUGAUCUACAAAAACGUACCUACUUACCGUUAUAUUUACCACGUUGUUUACCUAUUUGUGUAGGUACUUCCGCACGUGUAGCAUAUUACAUUUUUUAAAUGUUUCAAAUUUCGUUAUCGACGACAAGUCCUAAAC